rnacentral:tRNA from 1 species
GCGGAUGUGGCGGAACUGGCAGACGCGCAAGAUUCAGGUUCUUGUGGGGUAACACCCGUGCAGGUUCGAUUCCUGUCAUCCGCA